rnacentral:rRNA from 1 species
GGCCUAUCAGCUUGUUGGUUGGGGUAACGGCCCACCAAGGAGACGACGGGUAGCCGGCCUGAGAGGGCGACCGGCCACACUGGGACUGAGACACGGCCCAGACUCCUACGGGAGGCAGCAGUGGGGAAUAUUGCGCAAUGGGCGAAAGCCUGACGCAGCGACGCCGCGUGCGGGAUGAAGCCCUUCGGGUUGUAAACCGCUUUCAGCAGGGACGAAGCGAAAGUGACGGUACCUGCAGAAGAAGCGCCGGCUAACUACGUGCCAGCAGUCGCGGUAACACGUAGGGCGCGAGCGUUGUCCGGAAUUAUUGGGCGUAGAGAACUCGUAGGUGGUCCACUACGUCUGUUGUGAAAUUCCAGGGCUUAACCCUGGACUUGCUGCGGAUACGGGUGGACUAGAGGUAGGUAGGGGAGAAUGGAAUUCCCGGUGUAGCGGUGAAAUGCGCAGAUAUCGGGAGGAAUCACCGGUGGCGAAGGCGGUUCUCUGGGCCUUACCUGACACUGAGGAGCGAAAGCGUGGGGAGCG